GCUUCCUCUUUUUUACAAACUUUUAAAACCAUAAGUAUCGUUCAAAAUAAAUAAAGAUACAUGUGUUUUUGGAUGAUCAAAUGUAAAGUCAGACGUGGGUGAAAUCCUGUCGUUUGUUGUUUUUGAUAUUUUAAAAGUGUUUUUAUUGGACGUGGUGGAUUUUGAGGAAGUGAAGUGAAGGAAGGAGUGAAAAAGACAUUUGAGUUCCAGCUGAGUGUGGGGCGAUGCUGCGCUCCGUGGUUCCACUGGCUUUGCUCCUGGUUCUACAGCUGUCAGGCUCAGACGGACAGUUUAACUAUCAGACUGUGAUAGAAGGAGAUGACAUCACUUUGUCGUGUGAAAAUGUUCUUCCUGAUCAAAACCAGUGUGAGCUCACAACCUGGUUAACUGGCAGUUACCCACAUCGUAGAGUCUUGUUUGAUAAAGGAAAGAAAAAUGAUGCAGUGAGUUCAUCAGUGAGUCUCCUCCAGAACUGCUCCAUGGUUUUACACAGAGUCACAAAGAAACCGGUUCAAACCUACACUUGUCAACAAAGUGGAAAAAAGAAUGAAGAGACACAAUUUCAGCUGUUUGUAGCGUCCUUGUCUCAGGAAAAGAAAGACGACAGAGUGACUCUCACCUGCUCCGUGGCCACAUCUGCGGUCUGCAUUCAUGAAGUGAAAUGGUUGAACAACAAUGAAGAAGUGAAAAAGGAUCAUGAAGAGCUGCUGAUGUCUCGCUCUGACUCUGACUGUUCGGCCUCUGUCUCCUUUAAGGAUCCGUCUCCUCCGUCUCCGUUUUAUCAGACUCUGAGGUGUGAAGUUAAACAGAAAUUCAAAGAUCUGAUCUUCACCCUGUUCCCUCGAGCUCCUCAAGGUGAGAAACCAGAUCUGCUGUUGAAGGUGGUCGUCCCCGUGGUUAUAGCAGCGGCGCUCAUCCUGGCGUUUGUGGCGCUGAUGCUCUGGAGGAGAUGCAGAGGAAGUGGCGACGCAAACGGAGAAACUGUGAACCCUGAGGAUGGAGUCACCUACGCCUCGGUUCAGAUCAACCAGAAGAAAACCAAGAACCGAAAGAGCCCCCAGAGCAGAGACGGGGAGGAGGAUGUGACCUACAGCUCUGUGAACGUCCCCGGUCAGCGGCCCUCGUCUGAGCAGAGGAAAACAGGUGAUCCCCAAGACAAUGUCACCUACGUCGCGGUUAAUUUCAACAACAAAAAGAAGAAGAAGAGCGAUAAGAGCCGAGCUGAAGACGAGGACGUGACGUACAGCUCCGUGAACGUCGCUGCUGCAGCUGGAUCGGACUCUGUCCACAAACCAAAGUAACAUUACUCUCACUCAGUGUUGGGGAGAAUACUAUGACACUGUAUUUAGUUACUGAAUACUUGCCUUAAAAUGUAUUUUGUAACGUAUUCUGUUACUUUGUCUAAUCAGAGUACUGUAUUCUGAAUACUUUUAGAAUACUUUCACACUGAUUGUCAUUAUAUUUAUGUGUAAAUAUGGUGAAUAAUUACAACAAUAAAGACUAGGAUUAUUCAAACACCUGUUAUAAACUCACUUACCAUUAAUUAAGAACCAAAAAACUCUCUUGGCCAAUGGAGCAGCAGAUACAGCAUCAUGUGACACAUGUGUUUGUAUGAACUGUGACAUAAGGCGUUUAAAUCUUUAUUUUAUUUUAGGAGGAAAAACAGGUCAACAUUAAAGUUCUUUCUUAAUAAUAUUGUACAAUAUGGAGCUAACAUUUAGGCCUAAUGACUGAAUACUGGGAUGUUUUCCCUUGAUAUUUGGAAAGUAACUGUAUUUUAAACACUCUCAAAUUAAAGUGUAACUUUACCAGAAUACAGUUACUCAAAAUGAAUAUUCUAAAUACAUGUAUUUAGUUACUCCCCAACACUGCUCUUACUUGAGUAAAUAUUUUGGCUGAGGUGGAGGUAGGCCUACCUCCACCUCAGUUUUAAACUUUAGAAUGUUGUGAUGUCAACUGUCCCAUCACUGGCAUCCACAGUCAGUGAUGGGACUUUUUACUGGCUUUUCCAUAAACCGCUUUUUUGUUUUGUCUUAUUCCCCAUGUAAAGCGUUUGAGUGUCCAAAGAAGCGCUAUACAAAAAAAUUAAAGUUUCUAAUUUUCAUUGUCCCACCCCCCCAAAUAUGUUCAUAAUGUAGUUUUAUCAUAUGGUACUUUUUACUUCUACUUGAGUAAAAAUAAUUGUUACUUUAAGCGACAAAUUGCUUCAUUUUGAUAAAAAAGGAUGUACAUCGUGCUCCUUGUUCUUUCUAAUUAUUUUGUUCUUCUGUAUUUUCUUCAUGAUUUUAUGUUUUGUUUCACACAAUGUAUG
ensembl:lncRNA